UUGUGUUGUUGGUAUAGAGAUAUAUCGGCGAACCGAAUGCCUUCAUAAAGAAGAUGUGAAGUUUUAGCCGAGCCAAGCUUUGUCGCAAGACGAAAAGAUUGAACUGAAGAGUUUGAUCAUGGCUCAGAUUGAACGCUGGCGGCAGGCCUAACACAUGCAAGUCGAGCGGUAGCAGGCCUUCGGGCGCUGACGAGCGGCGGACGGGUGAGGAACACGUAGGAAUCUGCCUUGUAGUGGGGGAUAGCCCAGAGAAAUUUGGAGUAAUACCGCAUAUGCCCUGAGGGGGAAAGUGGGGGACCGAAAGGCCUCACGCUAUGAGAGGAGCCUGCGUCGGAUUAGCUAGUUGGUGGGGUAAGAGCCCCACCAAGGCGACGAUCCGUAGCUGGUCUGAGAGGAUGAUCAGCCACACUGGGACUGAGACACGGCCCAGACUCCUACGGGAGGCAGCAGUGGGGGAAUAUUGGACAAUGGGCGAAAGCCUGAUCCAGCCAUGCCGC
rnacentral:rRNA from 1 species